rnacentral:rRNA from 1 species
AACGUAGGAGGCGAGCGUUAUCCGGAUUUACUGGGCGUAAAGCGCGCGUAGGCGGUCGAGUAAGUCGGACGUGAAAGCCCCUGGCUCAACUGGGGGAGGUCGUUCGAUACUGCUCGGCUUGAGGAUGAGAGAGGAAAGCGGAAUUCCCGGUGUAGCGGUGGAAUGCGUAGAGAUCGGGAGGAACACCAGUGGCGAAAGCGGCUUUCUGGCUCAUUCCUGACGCUGAGUGCGCGAAAGCGUGGGUAGCAAACAGG